rnacentral:rRNA from 1 species
ACUUGAAUAUUAAUAGUUACAGGCUUUAAAUUCAAAGAAUUUGGCGGUAUUUUAGUCUUGUUAGAGGAACCUGUUCUGUAAAUGAUACUACACGAAGAAUCUUACUUACUUUUGUCUUUCAGCUUGUAUACCGUCAUUAUUAGAUAACCUUUAUUGAGGGAGUUAUUGGGGUGUAAUAAGUUAAAUAUAUUAGAUCAAGGUGCAGCUAAUGGGUGAGAAGAAAUGGGUUACAAUAAAAAUUUAUUUAAACGUAUUGAUAGUUGAAUAUACUAUCAUGAAGGAGGAUUUAAUUGUAAUAUAAAUUUAAUAAGUUAAUAUGAUAUGAGAACUAAAAUAUGUACAUAU